rnacentral:rRNA from 1 species
UAACCUGCCUUGGAUGGGGAAUAACACAUCGAAAGAUGUGCUAAUACCGCAUAAUGCAGUUGGGCCGCAUGGCUCUGGCUGCCAAAGAUUUAUCGCUCUGAGAUGGACUCGCGUCUGAUUAGCUGGUUGGCGGGGUAACGGCCCACCAAGGCGACGAUCAGUAGCCGGACUGAGAGGUUGACCGGCCACAUUGGGACUGAGACACGGCCCAGACUCCUACGGGAGGCAGCAG